rnacentral:rRNA from 2 species
AAAUUGAAGAGUUUGAUCAUGGCUCAGAUUGAACGCUGGCGGCAGGCCUAACACAUGCAAGUCGAGCGGAAACGAGUUAUCUGAACCUUCGGGGAACGAUAACGGCGUCGAGCGGCGGACGGGUGAGUAAUGCCUAGGAAAUUGCCCUGAUGUGGGGGAUAACCAUUGGAAACGAUGGCUAAUACCGCAUGAUGCCUACGGGCCAAAGAGGGGGAC